GAGCUGGUGGACUGUGGUAGCUC
rnacentral:siRNA from 1 species